rnacentral:rRNA from 1 species
UCUGAUCUCAGAUCAAGCAAGAAAACCCGCCGAAUUUAAGCAUAUAAUUAAGCGGAGGAAAAGAAACUAACCAGGAUUCCCCUAGUAAGGGCGACUGAAGCGGGAAUAGCUCACGAUGUGAAUCAGCGCUGCUCUGUGGCGCCGAAUUGUGGUCUGAAAACGUUUGCAUUACUGGCGGGGCCAAGUCCCUUGGAACAGGGCAGCCGAGAGGGUGAGACUCCCGUGUGCCCUGCCUUUGGAGCGAGCGUUUGACGAGUCGAGUUGUUUGGGAUUGCAGCUCUAAGUGG